AUUGAACGCUGGCGGCAGGCCUAACACAUGCAAGUCGAACGAGUGGCGGACGGGUGAGUAAUGUCUGGGAAACUGCCCGAUGGAGGGGGAUAACUACUGGAAACGGUAGCUAAUACCGCAUACCAUCGGAUGUGCCCAGAUGGGAUUAGCUAGUAGGUGGGGUAACGGCUCACCUAGGCGACGAUCCCUAGCUGGUCUGAGAGGAUGACAAGCCAAACGGGAAUGGGGACACGGUCAAGAUUCCUAGGGGGGGAAGCGGGGGGGAAAAUGGAAAAAUGGGCGAAAGCUGGAGGCAGCCAUGCCGGGGGUAUGAAGAAGGCCUUCGGGUUGUAAAGUAUUUUCAGCGAGGAGGGUUUACGCGCAGAGGAAGCACCGGCUAAUUCGGUGCCAGCAGCCGGGUAAUUC
rnacentral:rRNA from 1 species